rnacentral:rRNA from 1 species
GACGAACGCUGGCGGCGUGCUUAACACAUGCAAGUCGAACGGAAAGGCCCCUUUGGGGGUACUCGAGUGGCGAACGGGUGGGUAACACGUGAGUAACCUGCCCUUGACUUCGGGAUAACUUCAGUAAACUGGGGCUAAUACCGGAUAGGAAUCCUUGCUGCAUGGUUGGGGUUGGAAAGCUUCGGCGGUUUUGGAUGGACUCGCGGCUUAUCAGCUUGUUGGUGGGGUAGUGGCUUACCAAGGCUUUGACGGGUAGCCGGCCUGAGAGGGCGACCGGCCACAAUGGGACUGAGAUACGGCCCAGACUCCUACGGGAGGCAGCAGUGGGGAAUAUUGCACAAUGGGCGGAAGCCUGAUGCAGCAACGCCGCGUGCGGGAUGACGGGCUUCGGGUUGUAAACCGCUUUCAGCAGGGGCGAAGCUUGUGGUGACGGUACCUGCAGAAGAAGCACCGGCUAACUACGUG